CACGUAGGGUGCGAGCGUUGUCCGGAAUUAUUGGGCGUAAAGAGCUCGUAGGCGGUGUGUCACGUCGGCCGUGAAAACCUGCAGCUUAACUGUGGGCGUGCGGUCGAUACGGGCAUCACUGGAGUUCGGCAGGGGAGACUGGAAUUCCUGGUGUAGCGGUGAAAUGCGCAGAUAUCAGGAGGAACACCGGUGGCGAAGGCGGAUCUCUGGGCCUUACCUGACGCUCAGGUGCGAAAGCUAGGGGAGCGAACAGG
rnacentral:rRNA from 1 species